rnacentral:misc_RNA from 1 species
ACACCCUCAACCUUGUCGGUUUAUCGACCGGGAAGGCUUGGACUUUGGAGGUUUUCGUUGCUGGCCUCGUUCGAAGCCAGCUCCUCCUAAAUGAAUUAGUGGGGUCUGUCGUGCCGACCCUCGACGUGAUAAGUACGCUUCUACGUCUUGGCGUUGGCCCGGAAUCCUGCUUCGAAUCGUCUCUGAACGGAGACAGCUUUAUAUGAA